CACCAUAAAUCGUCCACUUAGAUAUGGCCUGGUAAAUUUGGAAACCAUCCAGGCAGGUUUGACGAAAUAUUUGCCAUGUACCUGAGGGACUCUUAAAAAAGCGUGUUGUCGAGAAACGUGACGUUUGACGGGUGAAAGUUGAACAGAUGAGAGAAACCGAGGAGGUGUGUGUAACUCUCAUCCUUACUGUUGUUAUAAGAAGAAGGGCUGUUGCCUGCCAGUCUUUGUAAGUGGACGGCAAAAGCAACAUUCAGAGAUGAGUUUGACUGCUAUUCUGUCAGAGAUCGACGGUGGAGAUGACAAAGGAGUUGGAAAGCUUUUGCAGAAGUUUAACAUAGAGAACCGCCACACGUUUGCCUUUGACCACAAAGAGGAAGAUGCACGAAUUAAAUUGUGUCAGGGUCUUCUUACAGUCCUUCGUCGGUCAGAUCAUCCACUUUGCCAAAGCACCUGCCUGGAGACCCUGCGCAUCCUGUCGAGAGACAAGCGUGUACUUGGACCCGUAGCCACCAAAGAGGGCAUCCUUACUCUAGCAGGACUGGCACGGAUCCAUGUGGCGGGACAUGACGGAGAGCCGCUAGAGGAAGCACAGUCAGCAGAGGAGGAGAGGGUUGUAGUGGAGGCCCUCAAGUGCCUGUGCAAUGUAGUGUUUAACAGCGUGCCGGCACAGCAGGUGGGUGCUGAUGUGAAGUUGGCAGAGGGUCUGUGUGCCCGCUUGCCUUCGGUCAGCUCGUCCCAUCAUGAGGUGGGACUUUUCUCCCUCCGGCUGCUGUUUCUGCUUUCCGCCCUGCGGCCGGAUGUGCGUGGUAUGCUUCAGAAGGAGGCGGGUGCAGUGAGGUUGCUCACUGACAUACUGGAACGCACCCUUGACGUCUGUUGGGUGGGGCCAUAUGAGGCCGCACCACCUAAACCAGAAGCCCUGCCCAUUUCCUCAGAAAACAAUGAGCUUGCCAUGGAAGCCCUUAAAGCUCUGUUUAACAUUACUAUGUCUGAUUCCAGUGAUGAGGACAGUGACCACCAGCUUCGGCUGAUUGCAGGCAUCAUGAGACAUCUCCUAAUGCUCAAGACACACACUGACGAUAAAACUGAGGAGGCUCACAGUCAUACCAUAAAUCUCCUGAGUAACCUUCCCGUGCGAUGCCUGGAUGUUCUAAUAGACGUCCCUGUCCAAGGAGGGAUUGAAAUGUAUGGUGGGAAGAACAUGGACGUAGUGCAGAUACUUCUAGAUUUUAUGGAGAGGAGGAUAGACAAGGGGACCAACUAUAAAGAAGGCUUGACACCUGUGCUGAGUCUGAUGACAGAGAGCUCUAGAUACCACAGGGAGAUCCGCAGAUACCUCAAGACCCAGGUGCUGCCUCCCCUGAAGGAUGUGAAGGAAAGGCCGGAAAUCGGUUGCACAGUUCGAAACAAACUGGUGCGUCUCAUGACACAUGUAGACAUGGCAGUGAAACAGGGGGCCGCUGAGUUUCUCUUUGUGCUCUGCAAGGAGAGCGUGGAUAAUCUGUUGAAGUACACUGGUUAUGGUAAUGCUGCGGGACUGUUGAUGGCACGAGGGUUGCUGGCCGGAGGCAGAGGAGAGACACAGUACUCAUCUGAUGAAGAUUCUGACACUGAGGAGUACAAAUCAGCCAAACCAUUUAUCAACCCCAUCACAGGUCACAUAGAGCUCCCAAUUCCAAAUCCUAUGGAGGAGAUGACAGAGGAGCAGAAGGAAUAUGAAGCUCAGAAGCUUGUCAAAAUGAUUGAUGAAUUAUCAAGGAAGGAACUGAUCAGACCAAUGGGAGUGAGGAAGGAUGGCACUCUAGCUCCCCUAGGAGAAGCCAUCCAUCAAUGCAGCACUCCACCUAGCAUUGACUCCGACUCAGACUAGCAGGAGUUUAGUUCACUCAAAUAAAUCCUCUAGGCACCACUGCUGCCAGCUGAUCACAAGUCUUACCGACUGUCCCUUGCACGGGGGAUAGUUCAGUUAUUUCCUACUAAAGGUUCUUUUGUCGCAUGAGGGCAUGUCUUUCUAAUUGAGACAUGAAUGGUGAACUAUAGAGUGAGCAGAGAGAGAGAGGAAGCAGAAAUGUUUAAAUAGAUAUAAGGUUGUCACCGGACUCCAUAUAUGUUCACAGUGACUGUAUAAGAUGGAACUGUUAAGUAGGAAGUUACACAGCAUAUUCACGUGUCUCUGUGCACAAGUAAAUGCACCUGGUCUUCAUUAAUGAAGUAUAAAGGCUUAAUGACAUUUACCCUUAAGAAAAGCUGUUCAUUUAGGUUUGUAUUUAUUAAGCAGUCUGGGGCUGUUGCUGGUUCACAGUUGGAAGAAACCUGUUCCAUGUUUCAAAAUACUUCAGUGUCUUUUGAAAUGUUAUGCCACGACAAGCCAUGAUAUCACUUGUGCUAAAAAAAAAAAAAGUCUUGCACUUUGUUUUUGCAAAAUGUGCAUUGCAUUUUUUCCCACCAUUUUAUGCCUGGAGUUUUAAAUUUGUGUAUUUUCUAAUGUUCUAUAUUAUUUUUAGCUACCCAAUUUUCUAUACAUUGUUUUUUUGUUUUCUUUCAAUGUUAUUAGGGGUGGCAUGUUCUUUUUUUCUAAUGAUUUUUAGGUUUUUACACAAAACAAUGUAAUUAAAUUCAGGUUUUCUAAGGAUUUCUGGUUACUAUCUUUGAUUUAAAAGCUUGUGAAUAUUUCACAAGGCCCAGUACUCCUCUUCUAUAACCACUGUAAAAUCCGAAGAAAUGGGCUUGGUUUUAAAAAUUUAAAAAAAAAAAAAUCAGGAAAUUAAUUUUUUUUCAUUUCAAACGUUUGCAAUAAAUUAAAAAGAAAACUA